UAGGGAAUCUUCCGCAAUGGGCGAAAGCUUGACGGAGCAACGCCGCGUGAGUGAUGAAGGUCUUCGGAUCGUAAAACUCUGUUAUUAGGGAAGAACAAAUGUGUAAGUAACUAUGCACGUCUUGACGGUACCUAAUCAGAAAGCCACGGCUAACUACGUGCCAGCAGCCGCGGUAAUACGUAGGUGGCAAGCGUUAUCCGGAAUUAUUGGGCGUAAAGCGCGCGUAGGCGGUUUUUUAAGUCUGAUGUGAAAGCCCACGGCUCAACCGUGGAGGGUCAUUGGAAACUGGAAAACUUGAGUGCAGAAGAGGAAAGUGGAAUUCCAUGGGGAGCGGGGGAAUGCGCAGGGAUAUGGAGGGAAACCAGUGGCGAAGGCGACUUUCUGGUCUGUAACUGACGCUGAUGUGCGAAAGCGGGGGGAUCAAACAGG
rnacentral:rRNA from 1 species